rnacentral:misc_RNA from 1 species
UCCGUUUCAAAAACUGAUAAAAUCGCACAGUCACUUAAUUUUCCUAAUCUUCAGAGAAACUGAUUAAAAAAAAAAAAAGAAAGAAAAAAUAGUCUCUAACUUCUAAGCACUGUAUAAAUCUGUAGCAGACGACUUGGUGCAAAAUGCGAAGGAGGAAGUGAAACAUUUUAUUAUUAAUGUGUUUCUGUUUUGUAAUGUUUUCUAACCAAGUGAAUUCUCGAGAUUUGUUCUAUAGCAACCCAAUCGAUCAUUUCCUAGUACAAGAUGCAACGCAGAAAAUAAGUAGGGAGUCUGGCUUCAGCUCCAGUUUUAGUCGCAAUCAGAGUGGAAACUCAAAAGAUCUUUAUCAAUAUUCAGGCUCUGAAGAUCUGUUUAGUCACACAGAGAACAGCAAUAUGUAUGAUUCUCAGCCUGCAAGUCAUAAAUUGGAUUACCAGAAAUAUAUUUCACAAAAUCUUAUCUUGGGGAAAAUUAACAAAUCUCCUGAGACCACUUCUGUAAACAAACAGACUGCAGAUAAAGAUUUGAAAAAGAAUUCAAACUUUAGAGCAUGUUUAUCUGACACAGAAUUUAUUAAUCAAAGUGAAAUGAAAGAAAUCAGGGAUUUAUUCAGAUCUCUGACUGCAGUAAUACAGAAACUUAAUGUUGAUGUUUUAAUUGUUAAAGACAAUGUAAAGGAUAUUAAAGAUGAAAUAUCUAGACAAAAUGAAAACUUUGAAUCAUUUAAGGAUAUUUUAGGAAAACAAGAAAGAAAAUUAAAUGAAGUAGAAAUUUCCUUAGAAAAGUGCAAUCAAAAACAAGAUGAAUAUUAUGCAGAUUUGAAAUGCAUAGCAAGAGGAACAAAUGAGAAUGUUGAGAAUAUGAUAGUCGAAGUAAGAGAUGGCAUUCAAUGUGGCAGUAAAGUUUCAGAAAGCAUAAAGAAAAUUUUAUCUGCUCAUGAAAAUUCUCAUAAGAAAUUUCUGUGUGAUGCAAAAAAUCAAAACAAAAGUAUUAUAAGCUGUGGGUAUCUUUCUUGGAGGAUGAAUUACUGUUUUUGCAUCUUGUUUUAAAUGGAUUUUAUAUUCUCCAUUCACACAGCCUAAGUCUUCAAAUAUGUCUUUGUAUUCCUCAGAAGUGUGGAAAAUACAACAUGUAAAAUUCAAUCUGCUAUUGAAGCUAUACCGAAAAAUCUAAACAAAUUUGUGGAUAAAUUUGAGCAAAAAACAAAGGAAUUGCAAACAGCUAUAUGUGCUGUAAAAG